rnacentral:rRNA from 1 species
UACGUAGGGUGCGAGCGUUGUCCGGAUUUAUUGGGCGUAAAGGGCUCGUAGGCGGCGUGUCGCGUCGGGAGUGAAAGCCCGCUGCUUAACGGCGGGUUGGCUUCCGGUACGGGCAUCGCUGGAGUGCGGCAGGGGAGACUGGAAUUCCUGGUGUAGCGGUGAAAUGCGCAGAUAUCAGGAGGAACACCGGCGGUGUAGACGGCUUUCUGGACCGUAGCUGACGCUGAGACACGAAAGCGUGGGUAGCAAACAGG